rnacentral:lncRNA from 1 species
AGUCUUCUAAGAGGUGAAUGGGGGAAGCUGGAGAGUUGCGGUGCACUGCGGUCUUCCAGGUACAGUGAUUGGCUAGGAAACCUCAACUUUGGUGCCCAAUGAGUCAUCUGAGCAUCUUGCCCUCAUGCAGAUUCUGAUCCAGUGACUCCGGAUUGGGACCUGAGACCCUGCAUUUCUGAAAUGCUCCCAGGUGACGCUGUUCAUUCCAGUCUCUGGACUACAUAUACUCUGAGAGUCUAGUCUGUAGAGUUUUAGAGAUAGCUCUCUUUUCUAUUUCCUAGAAGUGUGCUGUUCCGGUCAAGGUUGUAGAAUUAUUGCUACAAAUAGCAAGCAAAAGUUAGACUUCGCUUUCAGUGUGUGCUUCAUCCCCUUGAGACAAUUCUGCAAUUAUUCAUCUUGAGUUAUGCCCCUGGCAUUAAGAGCUGUGCUAAUGCUGGAGCUGUUUUAUAAUAAAAAAUUGCAAUGCGUAGUCAA